rnacentral:rRNA from 1 species
UACAGAGGGUGCUAGCGUUGUUCGGAAUCAUUGGGCGUAAAGGGCGUGUAGGCGGUUUGUUAAGUCAUGUGUGAAAUCCCUCGGCUCAACCGGGGAACGACGCAUGAAACUGGCAAGCUAGAGUACCAAAGAGGGGGGUGGAAUUCCCGGUGUAGCGGUGAAAUGCGUAGAUAUCGGGAGGAAUACCGAUGGCGAAGGCAGGUCUCUGGGCUGACACUGACGCUCAUGCACGAAGGUCAGGGGAGCAAACGGG